rnacentral:rRNA from 1 species
AAUCUCAGUUCAGACUGCAGGCUGCAACUCGCCUGCACGAAGUCGGAAUUGCUAGUAAUCGUAGGUCAGCAUACUACGGUGAAUACGUUCCCGGGCCUUGUACACACCGCCCGUCGAACCAUGAGAGUUGGCAACACCCGAAGUCGGUAGUCUAACCGCAAGGAGGACGCCGCCGAAGGUGGGGUUGAUGAUUAGGGUUAAGUCGUAACAAGGUACC